AGAAUCAACGCUGGCGGCGUGCCUAACACAUGCAAGUCGCACGAGAAAGGGACUUCGGUCCUGAGUAAAGUGGCGCACGGGUGAGUAACACGUGAAUCAUCUACCUCCGAGUGGGGAAUAACCUAGAGAAAUCUGGGCUAAUACCGCAUAACACUUACGAGUCAAAGCAGCAAUGUGCUUGGAGAGGAGUUCGCGGCAGGAUUAGUUAGUUGGCGGGGUAAUGGCCCACCAAGACGAUGAUCUGUA
rnacentral:rRNA from 1 species